CCUACGGGCGGCAGCAGUGGGGAAUAUUGCACAAUGGGGGAAACCCUGAUGCAGCGACGCCGCGUGAGUGAAGAAGUAAUUCGUUAUGUAAAGCUCUAUCAGCAGGGAAGAAAAUGACGGUACCUGAGUAAGAAGCUCCGGCCAACUACGUGCCAGCAGCCGCGGUAAUACGUAGGGGGCAAGCGUUAUCCGGAUUUACUGGGUGUAAAGGGAGCGUAGACGGCAGUGCAAGUCUGGAGUGAAAGGCGGGGGCUCAACCCCCGGACUGCUCUGGAAACUGGACGGCUGGAGUGCCGGAGAGGUAGGCGGAAUUCCUAGUGUAGCGGUGAAAUGCGUAGAUAUUAGGAGGAACACCAGUGGCGAAGGCGGCCUACUGGACGGUGACUGACGCUGAGGCUCGAAAGCGUGGGGAGCGAACAGGAUUAGAUACCCGGGUAGUC
rnacentral:rRNA from 1 species